AGUUAGUAGACAUUUCUUCCUGAUUUCAUCAUUGUCUUCCCACCAAGAACUCUGCAACAAAACCAAGAAGAAAACAGUGUCUAUGAGGUGAAAGAGGUAGUGGCUAACUUGGGAAGAAGGAGGAAUCCCAACAAGAAGAGGAAACAACAAAGGUGGGCCCAACAUUUGAGAGUUGUUCGAGUUAGACUAGUGUAGUUGAUCUAGUAGUCUAAACUCUUGUUUUAUUUUAUGGUGUUAUAGAUUAUGGUUGUAGACUUUUGUUUUUUUAUGUUUGGUGAUAGACAGUUAGACACCGGGAUACUUUUCCCCAAGUUACCUUAAUUUAGUAAUUUCGAAUGUUAGUUUGACUUGAUGAUUUA